rnacentral:lncRNA from 1 species
CGCAAUUGGAAAAUUGUUACAUCAGAUGGAGGGUGCAAGCAGAAUCCUGGUACAAAACAUCAAUGAGCAUCUCAACCUGUGUCAUUCUUAUGGGUCCUCUGACAGAGUAUGUGCUAGCACUCACUGCUUAUGUGGUUUAGGAUAUCAGAAUUAAUGAUUAAGAUCAAGUUAAUUGAGUUAAGUUGACUAUUUAUGCUUCUUGACUUAGACAGAUAAGGAUUCUUGAAUUACUGGCACGUCUAAAACAUUUCACACCAUGUUUUAGUUGAGCUAUGGUCCAGAAAAUAUAUUUGAAUCAUCAGAAAGUAUCAAGGAAAUAACACAGGAAGAGGAAUAGUUUGCAGACCGCACAGCAGGGAAAAGAUUGUCCCUGCACCCAGGGACUACCACACAAAAGCAGUGGAGGAGGACUUGGGUUUGGGGAAGCAGCAGGUGAUGGAGAAGUACUUCACUCCCGUGCAGCAUAAGCAGGGGACCAGGAGCCACAGGCACAGCAGGCCCCACCUCCAUGACCAUCACGAGAGGGACCACAAGCAUUGCAAGAUUGCUGACCAAAAAACUGAUCACCACAAACACCAUCUCCGCCAUCACCACAACCAUGAUUAUCAUCACCAUCCUCAUCACCAGCACGAGCUAGAUUGGUCAAAGGAUCACAAUUGUCAUGGUAGCAACCAUUCAACAUCAGAGGGCAACAUUGUCUGCCACCAUGGCCACAACAAUCACCCUCACCACCACAAUGAGAAAUCACACCACUCUCCCCCUGGCCAUCCUCAUCACCAACACCAACCUCAUCACCAUGCUACAGAUGUGACCUCCCACCCUCAGGUUGCAGCAACUUCCUCCAGCUCCACCUCUGGUUCCUCAUCAUCAUCUUUCUCAUCUUCCUUCUCUUCCUUAACAUCAUCCUCUUCCUCCUCGUCAUCCUCUGGCUCUUCAUCCACCUGGUCCUCUCAGACCACUAUAAAUGAGUCUGUGAAGGAUUACAAACAUCCACUGCAGAACCCCAAGUACUCACAGUCCUGCACUGAAAUCUCUGAGGGGAGGAAGGCCUAUGAUGAAGAGGAAGAUGAGACAUCUCCUUUGAUAGAUGACGAAGGCUAUCUCCACAAGUCCCCAAGCCAGGAAAGGAGCCUGAAAGGAAAAAAGAAAAAGAAAGCUGUGUCCUCUCAUCUGACCCCUGCCAAGAUCACCAUGAAGAAGCAGGAGAGUGCUAAAUUGGUAGGAAUGGCUGGCAAAGUCCGCAAGGCAAAGUCAAUGGAGGCGCUGUCCCAUUGUGAGGACAGGGAUGGAGAUGCAGAUACCAUUGUAGAUCAGGAGGAGUUGUGGAAAAGCAAGGAGGUAGCCAAUAAGAACUUAGUGAAGGACAAGCUGAAGUUCUCUGCCUUUCUGAACGAGAUCACCAGGCAGGUGCUCAGCCCAUACAGACUCACCUCUCUUGGAGUCACAGCUGCUCACAGGCCUAGCAGCCCAGGACAAGCCUCCCUGAGGUUCCCCAAGGUGGAACGCACAGGGGAGCAGAGUCAAAGACAGAAGAGUAGUCGGCCUGGCAGUGCAAGCUCAAUGACAGUUAGUGUUCACUCCCAUGUCAGUAGGCAUUCCCAUUCCAGGAAGCACUCUCAUUCCAUCAAGCACUCUCGCUCCCAUCUCGGCGCAAACCAGCAUCACCAACACCAUUGCCACCAUCAGCCUGCAAGAGACAUACACCACAGUCCUAGCAGCCACACCGAUGACAGCAGUAGCCCAGGAAAUAGCCCCUCAUCAAGACAUCACUCCCGUUCUUCAACACCACACCAUCAUAACCAGCAUCUCUCCCAUUCUCAAUCUCACCACCAUCAAAGAGGUCUUCAAAGUCCAUCUCAUCACCAGAGAGACCACCAAAGCCCAAAGCAUCACCAUGGAGACCACCACAGCCCCACUCAUUCCCAUCACCAUGGACACCACCACAGACAAAUUCAUCCCCAUGGAGACCACCACAGCCCAAGCCACUCCCGUGAUCAUGGGGACCUUCACAGCCCCAGUCAUCCCCAUCUCCAUGGAGGCCAACACAGCCCAACUCAUCCCCAUGGAGACCACCACAGCUCAACCCAUCACCAUCCCCAUGGAGAUCACCACAGCCAAACUCAUCCCCAUGGAGACCACCACAGCCCAACUCAUCCCCAUCACCAUGGAGACCACCACAACCCAACUCAUUCCCAUCAUCAUGGAGACCACCACAGCCCAACCCAUCACUGUGGAGACCACCACAGCCCAACUAAUCCCAAUCACCAAGGAUACCACCACAGCCCAAAUCAUCACCAUGGAGACUACCACAACCCAACUCUACCCCAUCAGCAUGGAGACCACAACAGCCAAACUCAUCCCCAUCACCAUGGAGACCACCACAGCCCAACUCAAUCCCAUCACCAUGGAGACCACAACAUCCCAACUCAUCACCAUGGAGACCACAACAGCCCAACUCAUCCCCAUCACCAUGGAGACCACCACAGCCCAACUCAAUCAUAUCACCAUGGAAACCAACACAGACAAAUUCAUCCCCAUGGAGUCCACCACAGCCCAACUCACCCCUAUCACCAUGGAGACCAUCAUAGCCCUAAGCAUCACCAUGGAGACCACCACAGCCCAACUCACCCCCGUCACCAUGGAGACCACCAUGGCCCAACUUAUCCCCGUCACCAUGGAGACCACCACGGCCCCACUCAUUCCCAUCACCAUGGAGACCACCACAGCCCCACUCAUUCCCAUCACCAUGGAGACCACCACAGCCCCAUUCAUCCCCAUCACCAUGGAGACCACCACAGCCUAAGCCAUUCUCAUCACCAUGGAGACCACCACAGCCCAACCCAUCACCAUCACCAUGGAGACCACCACAGCCCAACUCAUCACCAUUCCCAUGGAGACCACCACAGCCAAACUCAUCCCCAACACCAUGGAGACCACCACAACCCAACUCAUCACCAUGGAGACCACCACAACCCAACUCAUCACCACGGAGACCACCACAACCCAACCCAUCACCAUCACCAUGGAGACCAACACAGCCCAACCCAUCACCAUUCCCAUGGAGACCACCACAGCCAAACCCAUCCCCAACAUCAUGGAGACCACCAAAACCCAACUCACCCCCAUCAGCAUGGAGAAUAUCAUAGCCCAACACUUUCCCAUCACCAUGGAGAACAUCACAGCCCAAGUCAUUCCGAUCACCAUGAAGAUCACCACAGCCCAACCACCACCCUUCCCUGGAGACCACCACAGCCAAACUCAUCCCCAACACCAUGGGACCACCAAACCCAACUCACCACCAUCACCAUGGAGACCACCACAGCCCAACUCAUCCCCAUCACCAUGGAGACCACCACGCCCAACUCCAUCACCAUGGACACCACCACAGCCCAACUCAUCACCAUGGACACCACCACAGCCCAACUCAUCACCAUAGACACCCCACCCGCCCAACACAUCCCCAUCACCAUGGCACCACCACAAUCCUCUCCACCCAGAUUCACACCAUCACCACGGCUCCCAUCCAGUCUCUCCCAUCACCACAGAUCUCAUCCAGAUUCUCUCUAUCACCACGACUCCCAUACAGAUCUCAUGAUCACCGCAGCUCCCAUCCAGAAUCUCUCCAUCCCAGGGCUCCCAUCCAGAAUCUCUCCAUCACGGCGGCUCCCAUCCAGAAUCUCUCCAUCACCCUGGCUCCCCUCCAGAAUCUCUCCAUCCCCAGGGCUCCCAUCCAGAAUCUCUCCCUCACCGCGGCUCCCAUCCAGAAUCUCUCCAUCACCAGGGCUCCCAUCCAGAAUCUCUCCACACCGCGGCUCCCAUCCAGAAAUCUCUCCAUCACCAGGGCUCCCAUCCAGAAUCUCUCCAUCACCAUGCUCCCAUCCAGAAUCUCUCCAUCACCAUGGCCCAUCCAAAAUCUCUCCAUCACCAUGGCUCCCAUACAGAAUCUCACGAUCCCCAAGGCUCCCAUCCAGAUCUCUCCCUCACCGAGACUCUAAUCCAGAAUCUCAGAUCAUCAUGGCUCCCAUCCGAAUUUCACGAUCCCCAUGGCUCCAUCCAGGAAAUCCACAAUCCCAUGGCUCCCAUCCAGAAUCACACGAUCCCCAUGGCUCCCAUCCAGAAUCUCACGAUCCCCAUGGCUCCCAUCCAGAAUCUCACGAUCCCCAUGGCUCCCAUACAGAAUCUCACGAUCCCCAUGGCUCCCAUACAGAAUCUCACAAUCCCCAUGGCUCCCAUACAGAAUCUUUCCAACACCAUGGCUCGCAUAGAGAAUCUUUCCAACACCAUGGCUCGCAUACAGAAUCUCUCCAACACCACCAUAGUUCCCACCAAGAUUCCCACCACCACCUCUCUCAUCCACACUCCCAUUCUGAACCCCAUCACAUUUCUACCAACCCAGAAUCUCAUCAUCACCACCAUCCUUCCAAUUCUGAAUCUCACCAACAUCCCUCACCUGCAGACACACAGCACCACCAUCAGCACCAUGACGGUCACCACAGCCCAUCAAGCCAUUCUAAGGAGCACUUUCCUGUCAGUGCAUCGGCUACAGAGCUGGAGUCAUUGUCCCAUUCCAGCAAGUCUGGUUAUUCCAGGAAUACCAGCAGUCCCACGAGUCAGGACGAGCGGCAGACGGGCUACAGCGGCUCAACUACCUCUCUACAUAAAGUAUGA